rnacentral:misc_RNA from 1 species
GUAUAACUUUUUAUAUAGGUACAAAAAAAGGACCUUUACUCGACAUUCUAGACAUGAAAGGUUGUGAAAACAUAGACCUGGAGGAUGAAAAGGGAAAGCCGACCUCUAUUUUUUUCAGAAGCACAGCAGUCCCCACUCGGAACGAAUCCAAAACCUCCAUCCAGGGUCUACAAUACGUGCACAGUUGGGAGAAAUGAGUAAAGAUGACAAGCGUGCACAUCGGUCCUGAGACCCAGCAACAGCCUGUACAAGUUUAUUCGAUAAUGAUCCUUCCGCAGGUUCACCUACGGAAA